rnacentral:lncRNA from 1 species
GUUUCUUUUCUUUUCUUUUCUCUCUAAAGGUUUUGGACCUUUACCUCAUGUAGAAAGCUUCUUCAUGCCCCCUUCUUUCUCUCAGAAAAAUUCUAUGCACGCCGCACAUCUCUUUCUCUUUUAAAAUAGUACAAGACGUGUCUUAUCCGCAUGAGAGGAUAAAGAUAAGUAGUUGCACACUUGAAUUCAAAUCGAAUUUGAAUUCAAAUACAAAUCAACUCAUCCCUAUCCACUCUGGGCAUGAGAAGAGAAGGGGUGUGGCUUCUUUGUGCAUGGAAAGAUUUCAUGAGAAACUCUUUCUCGUGUAUGAUAAGUGGUGCACA